CCGGAGCAAAGACCAAGGAUUGCCUGACUCAGCUGUUCUUCGCUCUUAUUUGUGUGGCUCCCUUGCAGCGCAGAAACUGCGAGGCAGGCGGCCCACGCGGCCGUUCGCGGUGGCGUCUCCGUGCUAGAAAUUGUGAUGUCCACUCCAGGGGUGCUAGAGAUUGUUGAGGAUCUUCGGAGGAGUUACCCUUCUUUGACAUUUGGGGUUGGCACGGUCCUAAAUGCUGAUGAUGCAAAGAAAGCCAUUACAGCUGGUGCUCAGUUUCUCAUGAGUCCUGGCACAGUCAUGGAAAUACUCCGUGAUCUCGAACAAAGUGAAGUUCUAUAUAUUCCAGGAGUGCUGACACCAACUGAAGUUAUAUCUGCUCGUGAUGCUGGUGCUGAAGUUGUUAAGGUGUAUCCAGUUUCAGUGAUGGGUGGAGAGAUGUAUAUGUCUGCUCUGAAGAAACCAUUCCCUCUUCUACCCAUGGUUGCUUCUCAGGGAAUUACCAUAGGUUCGAUCAAAUCAUACAUGGAGGCAGGGGCAUCUGCAGUGGUGCUAUCAGAUGCUAUUUUCAACAAACAAUUGAUCAGAGAAAGGAAUUUUAUUGGAAUUUCAGCGCUCGCAAAUCAGGCCACUUUACAGGCAUCACAGUCAGGAAGAUGAGGCAAAACCAAAAACCUUUUGCAAGCAACACAGUCCGGAAAAUGGCGACAUGGAGUACUUGUUGGAUACAGCAUAGCAUCUGAACUACGUUUGGUCAAAAGCUAGAACAGAAAUGGUUAAUCUCUUUUUUCAUAGGAAGAAGUGGUUUUAUUUCCCUGGUAGAAGUACUUAUGCAGCACGUUCCAAGAGUUCACCAAAAUCAUGUGCUAACAAGAAGGACCUUAGCAGGAAGAAUAGAAUGGAGGAUUGCAAGGUUCUGUUAUUUGAAGUGUGCCUAGGACAGAUGGAGAGGUUUGUACCGCCAAGGCGACAAGAGACCACAGUAGGGGAGCCCAUGAACUGUGGCAGCAUUUUGACAGCAGCGCGUUUGACAAAUUAUCUUGCUUGUAUUGAGGCCCUCGCCGUCAUGAGUUCUCCAUGGACUUGCUUCCGAAUCCCGCAAUAAAAUCACCACGAUCACCAA